CCUAAUUUGGGAACAUGAACAUCAGUCUUAAACUCAUAUUUGACAUUCUUAGGUUUGACGGUCCAUUGAUAUGUCCCAUUUUUCUCCUCAUGAACUAACUCAGUGGUUUGAUAAUCAUAGACAGAGUGAAUCUCACUUUCGGUGUAUUUAACGUUGGGGCUCUCAACCUUAAAGUUCUCGAUGAACAUUUUGAGGAAAUUUUAGAAAGGAUCAAAGGGGAAAGGUUUUUUAACAAACAAAGAGAAGAACACGCUACGAGUAUACUUGAGGCUAAGAGCUCCA
rnacentral:lncRNA from 1 species